UUUUUGGUAAAAGUAAAAAGUAGGGUCUGCCCAGUGAGUAAUUUUAACGGCCGCAAUAUUUGUGCGAAGGUAGCAUAAUCAUUUGUCUUUUAAUUGAUGACUGGAAUGAAUGGCUGGACGGGGAUAAGCUGUCUUAUGUAUAUAUAUUUGAAAUUUACUUUUAAGUAAAAAGGCUUAAAUAUUUUAGAGGGACGAGAAGACCCUAUUGAGUUUAAUAGAAUUUAUUUAAAUUUUUCUUAAAUUUUUAUGUAAUCUAUUUAGUUGGGGAGAUUUGAUAUUAUUAACUAUAUAAGAAUUAAUAGACUUUAAGUUUUUAGGAUCCAUAUUUUAUGAGUGUUAAGGUAAAUUACCUUAGGGAUAACAGCGUAAUAUUUUUUUAGAGUUCAAAUCGAUUAAAAUGAUUACGACCUCGAUGUUGGAUUAAGGAACCUAAUUUGGAGAAGAUUUUAAUUUAGGUAGUCU
rnacentral:rRNA from 1 species